GAUAGAAGGAACAAGUCAGCCUUUAUUGUCAGUGCAACUAGACUUGCUUUCAAUCAUUAUCAUUUUACAGUCUGAAGGUCCUCCUCCCAUUCUCUCCACACCCAUGAUGGUAGUGGCCUCUGAGUCAUUUAGAGAAGUCUGGAUUUAAGCUAUUAGAAGUUUCUGUUCUUCAUCUUCUGAAAGCUUUGCCAAGGUGUUGGCAGCCUGAGAACCCUAGCAAAAUCAGGGCCAAAUCACCGGCCAUCCAGCCAUUUAACUUUGCAUUGCUGUCUAGGCUCAGCAAACCACAAGUGUCAGAGAGCAUUUUCCACCCAGAAGCCCACAACAGUCCAAACUGCCUAUGGCAGAUAGCCCAGUGAGUUUGAGAAGAGCACAAAAGCAGGGAAAUUGUGAGGACCAAGAUAUCCCUAUGUCACAUGCCACAAAAAAAAUCAUUGCAGGUUGCUCACACCUUUUGUGGACUCAAGAGGGAGACUCACAGUCCCGUGAGUCUGGGGCAUCCCCAAGGGGUGCUGCCUGGGGACACCAGCACACCCUGUAUUUGCUGUUUUUGCUCUCUUGGGCCAAGAGAAGAGGACCUGGGCAGCAGUACCAUCUCUUGCAGCCCCAUUCACUCAUAUUCAGCAGCUCCUGCUGCAGGAGCCAUCUCCUGUGCCCUGCCAGCUGCCCCAGACAGCUGGGUGGGAAGGGGCAGAGUCGCCUGCAAGGCAGCCUGCCUGAGCACAGCCCCAGCUUUGUUGCUCCUUGCCCUCUUCCUCAGCUCUCUGCUCCACCAUCUUAGGGGUCACAAGCAUGCCAAGCCUCCCCACCGAGCAGGACGUACGGCAAAAUGGAUUUUGUGGUGAGCUGGGUAAGCAUGCUGUACUGGAGUGACUCAGAGCACGUCAUCUGUGGCACCGAAAACUGUGUUUACUGAGAGAAGCUGCCCAAACCAGCAUCCUUUUGGAGAGAAGUCCCUGGUUUGGAAGGACACUUGCAGUAAGCCUGGGCUGUCACAUAAAAAUGCACUAUGUUACUCUCAGAUCUCUUCCUGCUGAAGUAAUGAGGCAGCCAGGCUCUGGGGUUUGUUCAUGCUGUGGUGCAGGACACCACCGUAUGCAUCACUCUGUACCCUCCUGCUCUUUGGCAGGUGUUUCACCAGCAGAUGUUGUCUUAGCCCCAGAGCACCCAGACCCCUUCAUCAAAAGAGAGCAGUGGGAAGCAGAAAUUAGUCCUUUAGUGACUAGGGCAUCAGCAUGAUAUCCGUGGUGCUUAGGCUGUUAACAAACCAAUUAAUAAGGCUUAAAAGAGAAUGAGGUGAUAAAAGCCAUCAGCACGAUCUUGUCAGGAACUGACUGCCUCAGACUAAUCUGGUUUCUUCCUCUGAAGGGUUAAUUCACCUGGAGAAUAAUGGAGAAGCUUGAGCUAUUGGCACUCUCCAUCCUGAUUUUCUUACAUGAAACCAAGUGAAACAGUCUCAGCAGAAUCUCUGUGCACACCAGGAUGUCUAACCACGCACGUGCAAGCAGCAAUUAUCUGUCAUGCUGUCCAGCUCAUCAGAGGUCUGCUCCAUAUCUUUCUUUUUUUUUUUUUCUUUUUUUUUUUUCCUUCAUUUACAAUUUGGACCUGGGCAUUGAGAGAACUCCUAUAAACUUUGUUGGCAAGACAGGAGAGAACAAGCAUCAAUCUAAAAUUAUUUUAAUAAACCAGAGAGAUGGUACCAAAA